AGUUUUCUAGCAUUACCAAUGUUAUCUUUCUUUGCUUUCCCAUGGUUGUAUAUGCUGUCCAUAGAUAAGUUUCUUUUCCAUAGUUGUGUAUGCUGACUGGUCUCAUGUUGUUUAGGAAAUACUGAAAAUUGAACCAUUUGAUUUUGUCUUAUGGAAUAACGGAAAAUGCAAAAAAAGAUAACAUUGGUAAUGCUAGAAAACU
rnacentral:misc_RNA from 1 species